rnacentral:rRNA from 1 species
AGGGCACCACCAGGAGUGGAGCCUGCGGCUUAAUUUGACUCAACACGGGAAAUCUCACCAGGCCCGGACACCGGAAGGAUUGACAGAUUGAGAGCUCUUUCUUGAUUCGGUGGGUGGUGGUGCAUGGCCGUUCUUAGUUGGUGGAGCGAUUUGUCUGGUUAAUUCCGAUAACGAACGAGACUCUGGCCUACUAACUAGACGUUGGAUCCCUUUGUGGGUCCAUCGCAGCUUCUUAGAGGGACGGGCGGCGUUUAGCCGCACGAGAUUGAGCAAUAACAGGUCUGUGAUGCCCUUAGAUGUUCUGGGCUGCACGCGCGCUACACUGAAGGAAUCAGCGUGUGUUCCCUAUCCGAAAGGAUUGGGAAACCCGUUGAACCUCCUUCGUGAUGGGGAUUGGGGAUCGCAAUUAUUCCCCAUGAACGGGGAAUUCCCAGUAGGCGCGAGUCAUAAGCUUGCGUCGAUUACGUCCCUGCCCUUUGUACACACCGCCCGUCGCUACUACCGAUCGAGUGAUUUAGU